GACGAACGCUGGCGGCGUGCUUAACACAUGCAAGUCGAACGAAGAAUCAUUGAAAGCUUGCUGAUAUGAUUUUUAGUGGCGGACGGGGGAGUAACGCGUGAGGACUUGUCCAAUACAAGGGGACAACAGUUGGAAACGACUGCUAAUACCCCAUAAGCCUUAGGGUAAAAGGAGCAAUCCGGUAUGGGAAAGGCUCGCGUCCUAUCUGCUAGUAGGUGAGGUAACGGCUCACCUAGGCGAAGACGGGUAGCCGGCCUGAGAGGGCGAACGGCCACACUGGAACUGAGACACGGUCCAGACUCCUACGGGAGGCAGCAGUGGGGAAUAUUGGGCAAUGGGGGCAACCCUGACCCAGCGACGCCGCGUGAGUGAAGAAAUCCCUCGGGAUGUAAGGCUCUGUUGUGUGGGAAGAUAAUGACGGUACCACACGAGGAAGCCCCGGCAAACUACGUACCAGCCGCCGCCGUAA
rnacentral:rRNA from 1 species